rnacentral:rRNA from 1 species
CAAUUGACACCUUGACGGUAACUAUUACCAUGAGAACUUUUGUCAUCUUCAAUCGCCUUACACAGUACAUCGCCAAAAUGAAAAAUUAUACUGGGUCUUGUGGCUAACGCUUUCGUCGAUUGAUACAAUAAUGACUGCGACUCCUUGCUUUCGCACCCUCGUUGUCCUAAUCUAUGGGACCAUCAGGCGCUCCCCGGGCAUAAUGAGACUAUAACCGAAGCCAGUCACAGGUUCGCUUUCACUAUUCAU